rnacentral:rRNA from 1 species
AGUGAACGCUGGCGGUAGGCCUAACACAUGCAAGUCGAACGGCAGCACAGUAAGAGCUUGCUCUUACGGGUGGCGAGUGGCGGGCGGGUGAGGAAUACAUCGGAAUCUACUUUUUCGUGGGGGAUAACGUAGGGAAACUUACGCUAAUACCGCAUACGACCUACGGGUGAAAGCAGGGGAUCUUCGGACCUUGCGCGAUUGAAUGAGCCGAUGUCGGAUUAGCUAGUUGGCGGGGUAAAGGCCCACCAAGGCGACGAUCCGUAGCUGGUCUGAGAGGAUGAUCAGCGACACUGGAACUGAGACACGGUCCAGACUCCUACGGGAGGCAGCAGUGGGGAAUAUUGGACAAUGGGCGCAAGCCUGAUCCAGCCAUACCGCGUGGGUGAAGAAGGCCUUCGGGUUGUAAAGCCCUUUUGUUGGGAAAGAAAAGCAGCAGGUUAAUACCCCGCUGUUCUGACGGUACCCAAAGAAUAAGCACCGGCUAACUUCGUG